GUCCAGAUAUUUCCAUCGAGUUCAGAGUUUCGUAAAACAAAUCGAAUCAAUGCAUCAUGUUUAUCUUACGCCAGAUGCAGAUACUCCUCCAGGUCCAGCGCUACCCGUUCCAGCUCCAGAACCGGUUCCAGACCCACCUGGAAAUCCUCCGAAUCCUGGCUGAAGGACUCCUCCUUGUUGGAGACCGGCUGGUUGGAGACCCCCAAAUCCAGGUUGUUGGACAUGUCCAGGUUGUUGGGCAUGUCCACCUUGCUGCAAAGCUGCUGGCCUACCGAACCCUCCGUACUGGAGUCCAGGCUGACCGAAUAAG